UUGAAAUGUAGUUCCCAUGGCAACAGGCUCUGAGGUGACAUAAAUCCAAAGGAACUUUUCUUGGUUCUCUGUCAUCCAAACAAGAAUCCUCUAAGGCUCCUAAAGAAAAGUCAACUUUUAAUGAAGCUUGGGUCUUCUUUGCUGUCUGUGCUCAUGGAGUCCUUUUCCUGUGGGUCUUAUUUCAGAUCUCAACUGUAACUCCUCACCUCCCCUGGACUAACACAAUCCGGGAUGAAGUCUUUUAGAAUGGAUACCAAAAGUGAUGAUCGCAUGUGAGAGAUAAGGAAGCAGUAUUUUGAAGAGAUGAAUAGGCUGGUCAAGGUCAUGCAGGUAGAGAAUAGAGGAGCCAACAGUUGUACUUGGGACCACUUCCUAUGAAAAUACCUGAAGACAGCAAAGUCACUGUGAUACCCACAAUAUCCACUACUCAAUCCACUCUCUCCCUCUUAUCUUUUAGAAAAUUAGUACCUGGUUUAGUGAAAGUGCUAAUAGGUAAAAAGGCUCAAAGAGAUUACAUAACUUGUCCAAGAUCACACAUAUAAUAACUGGAGGAAUUUGAAUUCCACUAUUGUUGUGAACUUCUCCUAUUCAUUCCCUUUAUCCAAUCUUUUUUUAAAAAUAUUUGUUAUUUAUUCAUGAGAGACACAGAAUGAGAGAGAGAGAGAGAGAGAGAGAGAGGCAGAGGGAGAAGCAGACCCCACACAGGGAGCCCGACGUGGGACUCGAUCCCAGGACUUCAGAAUCAUGCUCCGGGGCUGAAGGCAGGCGCUCAACCCCUGAGCCACCCAGGGAUCCCCCCCUUUAUCCAAUCUUACCUCAAAAUCACAAUGAACUGUUUAAGGAUGACAAAUGACUUCCCCACACUUCACCACUGCUGUAGCCAUGGGAAUGAAAACAUCAGAACAGAAGGACUCAGCUGCCCAACUUCCGUCCGCCUGGAGACCUCACUACUGCCAGACUUCUAAGCGUUCUUUUCCUUUCACUUCCCUUCAGACAAAGGCUCUGAAAAUGGAGAAGCCAAUAUUCCUUCUGUUUGUGGAUUUGCAUAAAAUAUCUUCAGGGCAAAGCAAAUGUAUCAACUCGUAUCUCCAAACCAUCAGCAGGCUAAUAUUGUGGAUUUAUCUUAUUCUCUCUGGAUCUCAGCAACUUAUUCAGAAGCUUGGAAAAUAAGGCUCAUUUAGCAUCAAAGUUUGAUCAGGGUCCUGAGGGAAGAAAUUACUGAGCCUGUGUUUACAAUCCUUUGACAGUCAAAAUCUUAGAUAAGAGUUAUGGGAUUGACUGAGGGUAGGUCAGUGUGCCUGUCCUCUGUUUGCUACCGAGGCUUUUCCUCCCUCUUGGAUUCUAUAGUGGAAGUUUGGGCACUACUACAUCCCACCAAGAUGAUGCAAGAUGAGGAUUCUAUCUAAGUCAUGAAGUGGGACUCUCUUCCAUCUUCCCAGG